rnacentral:lncRNA from 1 species
UUCCCUUUGUGGAUUUUCUUUGCCUUUUGUUGUGUGAUACCGUAGGGGGGGGCGGGGGGAGGGCAUUCAUCCAGCCUGAUGCUGUCCACUCGGGCCAGAAGGAGGACGCUUUCUUCCUGGAGGUGCACCGAGCCGAGAUCUCGCCCCUACCAUUGGGACAGGAAUGUCAUGUCACCCCAUCGUCCUGUGUCUCCCACCAUCGCUAUGCAAAGUGGUUCUUGUUGUACAUAAGAUUUAAAUAACGCACCUAUUUAAGAAACGUUGACAAAUUGUGGGUCUGGGACCCGCUCUUAUUUAUGAAGUCUUUGACCGGCCCUCCCUCCUCACCUGCCCCCACUUGCCUGCCCUUCUCACCUCCCCCAUGGCGUGUAGUACUGUCUGGACCAGUCAGCUGUCGGGUUAGUGCUAGUGGUUCUGUUUUGUUUUUGUUUUUUGUUUUUUAAGGAAACAAACAACAACAGGGGGGGAAAAAAAAAAGACCUUUGGAAACUUAAUUGCUUUUUUUUCUUAAGGGACUCUUGUAUGCUAAUGCUCUCCUGGUCAGUCAGUCUGCCCACUCGCUACUCUGUAUAAUUUCCAUGUGUCUCCAGUUUCCUUGUGGGUGGGGAUCAAGGUGGGAGGGAAGAGGAAGAAAGAGAUAGAUUCUCCACGUUGUAGCUCACACCUCCCCUCCUCUGCUUCUGUGAAUUUGGAAGGGCCUUGACCUUCCCUCCCUGUAUACCCCAUAGGAGAGUUGGUCCUCCAAGGUCCAGCUGUUGUCCCUCACCCCCUUUUAAGCUGUCCUUGUCCCCUACUGAGACUUGCAACCUGUGGCCUCCCCCCCCCAGCCCUCUGUGGUUCACUAAGCAUGCCCCACGCCCACUUCUUUGCAUGGUCUCUUGGGAGAGAAGAGCUACUUCACCCAGCCAGCCUGACCUCACCCGACUGUCCACACCUUCCCUCCACUGACGUGGACACUGCAGCAUCCCCUUCCCAUCGUGUCCCGAGGCAGACCAACCUCAUUUCUUUUUACAGACAGUUGGCUUUUUCUUACCAAGCCCCUUCACUGUACAGAAACAACCCUUUGACAAUUCUUUUGGGAGUCCCCCCUCUCUUUCCCCGACUCCAGCCCUUUUUAUGUUGGUUUAGCACAAAUCUCCCCCCAACCUCCAAACCAGACCCCCUACCAGUCGAUAUUAAUUGUUUUAUAUCUAUUUAAUCUUAUUCGAUGGAGACCAUGCUUCGGUUGUUUUAUACUUUGCCAGGUAAACUUUAUUACCCACCCCACCUCCAACUAUGCCCUAAUUUUUUUAAAAAAGGAAAAAAAAAACACACACAAAAAAAACAAAACAAAACAAACACAGAGACUUUGGGUUCGAGUCUCGGUCUUAAUUCCCUUUCUGUGGCAGGUUUUCUUCCGUGCGUGUGCCUGUGUGUGUGUGUGGAGUGAGUUCUGAUUUGUGUUCGUUUCUCUGUUGAUUUCUCUUGUUGCUUUCUUCCAACCCCGACCCUGGUUUCCGUAUUUCACAGCACCCGGUGCAGAGAGAAGCAGAAGCAGAAAAUAAAAAAU